GCCACUCCCCCUAGCCCGGCUGCGGCCUCCCAGUCUCCUCGGCCACACCCCCUUCCCAACUACUUAAAAGGACACUCCAAAGCUCACGUUUCCCUACUCGGUGCUGGGGUUCCUGUCUCUGAGACUCUACUCGGUGAGUGGCUGCCUUGGGAGGAAGGGAGCUGUUCAAGGCCGGCAAGAGUGAUGCAGAGUGCAAUUGCACUGGGUGACUUCUGAGCUACUUCCAACCCUCACCGUCUAUGAUUCAAUGGAACUCACCCGGCCCAGGAAGGGGCUUCCAGAAAGCCACAACUUCCUGCCUUUGAAGGCCAGGCUGGAGCCCAAGAAGGCUUUGCAGCCCCCUGGGUGUGCUCACUGUGUGAGCCAAGUGUUGUCUUUGGCAAUGAUGCCAACAGCCCGGCUCUGCCUGGGUUUCAGCUGCAUGGAGUGUGAACCAGCUGAGCAGGACCAGCACUGCCCCAGGGCAGGCGGCCAGGUGUGCUGUCUCUGGUCAGACGCGAUGAAUAGCAAAGCCUGAUGUCACCAGGGCCCGGGAACCACCCUGGCUGGGGGAGGCUGGUCUGCUCUGCUCAUGUGCUGGGGGCCUUAUUUCCUCUUUGAAUGUCUUUCUUGAAAAACAAACUCUUUGAGGUGAAAAAACAGUUUAUGGUUUUUCAAACAAUGAUUUGAAAUAAAGCAAAUAUUGGUAACAGGCUCUGCAGAUAGUAAUGUAAAGCUGUGAAAGAGCCACAAAUAAU